rnacentral:rRNA from 1 species
GACGAACGCUGGCGGCGUGCUUAACACAUGCAAGUCGAACGGAAAGGCCCUGCUUUUGUGGGGUGCUCGAGUGGCGAACGGGUGAGUAACACGUGAGUAACCUGCCCUUGACUUUGGGAUAACUUCAGGAAACUGGGGCUAAUACCGGAUAGGAGCUCCUGCUGCAUGGUGGGGGUUGGAAAGUUUCGGCGGUUGGGGAUGGACUCGCGGCUUAUCAGCUUGUUGGUGGGGUAGUGGCUUACCAAGGCUUUGACGGGUAGCCGGCCUGAGAGGGUGACCGGCCACAUUGGGACUGAGAUACGCCCGAGACUCCUACGGGAGGCAGCAGUGGGGAAUAUUGCACAAGGGGCGGAAGCCUGAUGCAGCAACGCCGCGUGCGGGAUGACGGCCUUCGGUUUGUAAACCGCUUUCGCCGGUGACGAAGCGUGAGUGACGGUAAUGGGUAAAGAAGCACCGGCUAACUACGUG